UCCUUAUGGAUCAGUUGGUAAAGAGUCUGCCUGCAAAGCAGGAGACCUGGGUUCGAUUCCUGGGUCAGGAA
rnacentral:tRNA from 1 species